AUGGAAAAAGCAAGAGAGUUCCAGAAAACCAUCUAUUUCUGCUUUCUUGACUAUGCCAAAACCUUUGACUGUGUGGAUCACAAUCAACUGUGGAGAAUUCUGAAAGGGAUGGGAGUACCAGACCACCUGACCUGCCUCUUGAGAAAUCUGUAUGCAGGUCAGGAAACAACAGUUAGAACUGGACAUGGAACAACAGACUGGCUCCAAAUAGGAAAAGGAGUAUGUCAAGGCUGUAUAUUGUCACCCUGCUUAUUUAACUUAUAUGCCGAGUACAUCAUGAGAAACGCUGGACUGGAAGAAACACAGGCUGGCAUCAAGAUUGCUGGGAGAAAUAUCAGUCACCUCAGAUAUGCAGAUGACACCACCCUUGUGGCAGAAAGUGAAGAGGAGCUCAAAAGCCUCUUGAUGAAAGUGAAAGAGGAGAGUGAAAAAGUUGGCUUAAAGCUCAACAUUCAGAAAACGAAGAUCAUGGCAUCUGGUCCCAUCACUUCAUGGGAAAUAGAUGGGGAAACAGUGGAAACAGUAUCAGGCUUUAUUUUUUUAGGCUGCAAAAUCACUGCAGAUGGUGACUGCAGCCAUGAAAUUAAAAGACGCUUACUCCUUGGAAGAAAAGUAAUGACCAACCUAGAUAGCAUAUUGAAAAGCAGAGACAUUACUUUGCCAACAAAGGUCUGUCUAGUCAAAGCUAUGGUUUUUCCAGUGGUCAUGUAUGGAUGUGAGAGUUGGACUGUGAAAAAAGCUGAGCACCAAAGAAUUGAUGCUUUUGAACUGUGGUGUUGGAGAAGACUCUUGAGAGGGAGAUCCAACCAGUCCAUUCUGAAGGAGAUCAACCCUGGGAUUUCUUUGGAAGGAAUGAUGCUAAAGCUGAAACUCCAGUACUUUGGCCACGUCAUGCAAAGAGUUGACUCAUUGGAAAAGACUCUGAUGCUGGGAGGGAUUGGGGGCAGGAGGAGGAGAGGACGACAGAGGAUGAGAUGGCUGGAUGGCAUCACAGACUCGAUGGAUGUGAGUCUGAGUGAACUCCGGGAGUUGGUGAUGGACAGGGAGGCCUGGUGUGCUGCGAUUCAUGGGGUCGCAAAGAGUUGGACACGACUGAGCGACUGA
rnacentral:lncRNA from 1 species